AGCAGUAGCCGCGGGAAUACGAAGGGGGCUAGCGUUGUUCGGAAUCACUGGGCGUAAAGGGUGCGUAGGCGGGAUCUUAAGUCAGGGGUGAAAUCCCGAGGCUCAACCUCGGAACUGCCUUUGAUACUGGGGUCCUUGAGUCCGGAAGAGGUGAGUGGAACUGCGAGUGUAGAGGUGAAAUUCGUAGAUAUUCGCAAGAACACCGGUGGCGAAGGCGGCUCACUGGUCCGGAACUGACGCUGAGGCACGACAGCGUGGGGAGCAAACAGGAUUAGAUACCCCAGUAGUCCCUGUCUCUUAUAC
rnacentral:rRNA from 1 species